GGGCGUAUAGCUCAGUUGGUUAGAGCGCCACAUUGACAUUGUGGAGGUCUCCGGUUCGAGUCCGGGUACGCCCACCA
rnacentral:tRNA from 2 species